GACGAACGUUGGCGGCGUGCUUAACACAUGCAAGUCGAACGGAAAGGCCCUGCUUUUGUGGGGUGCUCGAGUGGCGAACGGGUGAGUAACACGUGAGUAACCUGCCCUUGACUUUGGGAUAACUUCAGGAAACUGGGGCUAAUACCGGAUAGGAGCUCCUGCUGCAUGGUGGGGGUUGGAAAGUUUCGGCGGUUGGGGAUGGACUCGCGGCUUAUCAGCUUGUUGGUGGGGUAGUGGCUUACCAAGGCUUUGACGGGUAGCCGGCCUGAGGGGGUGACCGGCCACAUUGGGACUGAGAUACGGCCCAGACUCCUACGGGAGGCAGCAGUGGGGAAUAUUGCACAAUGGGCGGAAGCCUGAUGCAGCAACGCCGCGUGCGGGAUGACGGCCUUCGGGUUGUAAACCGCUUUCGCCUGUGACGAAGCGUGAGUGACGGUAAUGGGUAAAGAAGCACCGGCUAACUACGUGCCAGCAGCCGCGGUGAUACGUAGGGUGCGAGCGUUGUCCGGAUUUAUUGGGCGUAAAGGGCUCGUAGGUGGUUGAUCGCGUCGGAAGUGUAAUCUUGGGGCUUAACCCUGAGCGUGCUUUCGAUACGGGUUGACUUGAGGAAUUUAGGGGAGAAUGGAAUUCCUGGUGGAGCGGUGGAAUGCGCAGAUAUCAGGAGGAACACCAGUGGCGAAGGCGGUUCUCUGGGCCUUUCCUGACGCUGAGGAGCGAAAGCGUGGGGAGCGAACAGGCUUAGAUACCCUGGUAGUCCACGCUGUAAACGGUGGGUACUAGGUGUGGGGUCCAUUCCACGGGUUCCGUGCCGUAGCUAACGCUUUAAGUACCCCGCCUGGGGAGUACGGCCGCAAGGCUAAAACUCAAAGGAAUUGACGGGGCCCCGCACAAGCGGCGGAGCAUGCGGAUUAAUUCGAUGCAACGCGUAGAACCUUACCUGGGUUUGACAUGGAUCGGGAGCGCUCAGAGAUGGGUGUGCCUCUUUUGGGGUCGGUUCACAGGUGGUGCAUGGCUGUCGUCAGCUCGUGUCGUGAGAUGUUGGGUUAAGUCCCGCAACGAGCGCAACCCUUGUUCACUGUUGCCAGCACGUUAUGGUGGGGACUCAGUGGAGACCGCCGGGGUCAACUCGGAGGAAGGUGGGGAUGACGUCAAGUCAUCAUGCCCCUUAUGUCCAGGGCUUCACGCAUGCUACAAUGGCUGGUACAGAGAGUGGCGAGCCUGUGAGGGUGAGCGAAUCUCGGAAAGCCGGUCUCAGUUCGGAUUGGGGUCUGCAACUCGACCUCAUGAAGUCGGAGUCGCUAGUAAUCGCAGAUCAGCAACGCUGCGGUGAAUACGUUCCCGGG
rnacentral:rRNA from 1 species